rnacentral:lncRNA from 1 species
CAGGUACAUACGGGACUUUGGAGGCGGGUUUUGGCGGGAAAAUCUGUAAUGUUUGGAGAAGACAAGAUGGCGCUGGUUACCUCGUGUUAUAUCAAACGGCAUUUUUGUUCACAAAUACCCGCUUAUUUUACGUUAUAGCGACUGGUUCGUUUUGGAAAUUAUAACUCAAUGGACGGGGAAAAUGGUUCUGUAUUAAAGAGAAAAUGAUGUGCAGUUAUUGUGAUGUUAUUUGUUGUGAAAGACGGCCCGAAAUUUCGCUACUUCGCAGUACUGGUUUAUAAAACAUUUACAAGCAACAGCAAUUGAACUAUAUGACAAAGAAACCAAUGUAUACAAGCCAAUCAAGUUCUUCAGUUUAAAGGUCUGUUUACUUUUUAAUAAUUAGUUCAUUUAGUUGUACAUUAAUACGAAGUACUGGAACAGUACGCCUAGUCACAGAAUAGGUACCCUUGUUCCAGAGGUUUAAAAUAAACCUCUGGUUGAAAGCGACAAUUGAUUCAUCGAGCCGCGCCAAUCAGUUUGAAUUAGGGUCAGAUCCUGACUCUGUCUCCUGAUUGGAUGAUUGUAUUAAAGCUCUCUGAUUUAUUUAUUUGAAUCAAUCAGAGCAUACCUGUAGAUUUUAUUUUUGUGGAGGUAGCCAAUCUUUAAAUGGAGCUAGGCUAUGCCACAUUCUCGUACCCAGAGCCCGCCUUACACACGAUCAACAGAGCAUGACAAGGACGCGGUGUACGAGAAUGGGUUGCCUCAACAGUCGACUGCAGAUAAAAAUUUAGCCUCUGAACGAGAACAAAAUGCCAAGUGUGUCAAUGUCAUGUUUAUGCGCAUAUUCUGGGUAUUUCCGUCUUAUUUAAUACAGUGGAAUAUAGAAGUGCUUUCUGAGAGUUCUUGCAGUUAUUCCAGUUAGUCAGUAACUCCUGGCUUAGAUAACAAGCUCGAAAUGAUUUUUGGAGUUGGCAACACAGCAAGUAACUUCAACCUUACAUGUAUGUACUGUACCUAGCGGCUAUAUAGGCUGACUCGCCUCGCUAUACACAUAUUUUUGGAGUUAGGCAGUAACUCAAAGCUUAGAUACCUUGUUUUUUCAUGAUUUUUGGAGUUAUACGUAGCUCCAAAUGAUUAUUGGAGUUAGCCGGUAACUCCAGGCUUAGAUGCCUAAGCUCCUAAAUUAUUUUUGCAGUUGUAUACUUAUAUAGCUCCAAAUCAUUUUUGGAGUUAGCCAGUAACUCCAGAAUUCAUAUUUCAACUAUUGAAUUACACAAGUUACUCAAGUGUAUAUUUUGGUUUGGAGUUAGCCCUUCACAGCUUGGAGGUAGCGUCGCUCCAUAACUUCCUACUUUCUACAGGCAUGAAUCAGAGAGCUUUAAUACAAUCAUCCAAUCAGGAGACAGAGUCAGGAUCUGACCCUAAUUCAAAAUGAUUGGCACGGCUCGAUGAAUCAAUUGCCGCUUUCAACCAGAGGUUUAUUUUUCAUCGUCCCUUCGCAAUUAAAUGAAAAUAAUAAAAAUAAACCUCUGGAACCAGGGUACAGAAUAGGAAGGUAUACCCAUUGAACUAAAAAUAACUGGAACGAUACCUCCAGCUGGAAAUGUGAAGCCAUGCCCAGGCAUGCCCACUGUUGUCAUGCCCAGUCUUUUCACGUAACGGAAAUGAACGCGGGUUUUUUAAAUUUCCAAAACUGGGUAAAAAAAAUGCACUAAAACAUGAUUUAAAACGACGUAAAAUGCACCUACCAGUACAUUUUUUACAAUAAAAACAUCCUUCAAAACUCUAGAGUAAAAUAUUUUUAAUUUAUUUGUGUAGAAUUCAUAAUUAAAUUUCCUUUUUUGAAAAAAAAACGUUGAGCGAGGAGUGGAGCUUGCCGUGGUCUAAUCAUAAGUAUUUGUGUGAAUUUCCCUAUUUUGCUCAUUCGUUUUCCAAUUUAUUCGUCUGAAAGUUAGGAAAAAAGGUAUUCUAACAAGAUCAAACUACCAACCACAGUUUAAAUUAAUUAUGUUUUGUAGUAGAGUAUUUAUUAAGUUUUAAAGGUACAAAAUAACAAGUAUAAACAUUAAAGACAUUAAGAAAGUUUUUUUCGCGGACAAGUAUUUCAUGUCGCGAUUAUAUUCACAUUCGGCAAGAAAUACACAGAACAAGUCGUCAACGAAGGCAAACAAAGUGAUAGAUACGGAUUAAAUAAACUUGUUCUGUGAUUGACACGGUUUAUAGAUCAAAGAAUCUUCCUGUUGAACCAGAGCUUUCGCAAUGUUUCAAUUCAUUAUUUACUGUCAAAGGCUUUGGAAUCCAGGGUAGUGCUAUCGUAACAAAAGAGGAACAUUUGUUUGCUUUUUGAAAUGAAAUAGAACAUAUAAUUAUAUCAUUUUAAUGACUUGCUUCCGAUUUUCAGAGAGGUCUUGGAAACAUUAUUAAUUGUUGAUACUUUUGAAAUAUUCAGCAACUUGCCGAUGAAAUUUUUAUAAAAUAUUGCCAUAAAAUAUAACAUUCUAAGGCUAUAUAUAUAUUGAUACUAUUGAUACUAUAGUGCUGUUCCAACAUACAAUAAUGUGAAAAAAGAAAAGAAAAAAAGAGAUGAAAAAGUUUUUUCAUCAAGUGAGAAAAAUUUCCGGAGAAACUUUCCAAAAUUGUUGUCGCUCCAAUAUUGUUUAGGUCCAUUUUUUAAAGUAUUUUAUAAAGCGUAUGCUAUGUAUGUGCUAAUAAGAAGCUAGUUUUGUUGGCAUGUGGAAAGCAAAAGUAGCGAAGGUAAAGAGAUUAAAAUUGGAUUUAGUGCGUAUUUUUGAAAAAAUUUUACCACAAAAUAUGGUAGUCUCCCCCCGUCGAUGACACUUGUGACGUCAGGUACAUACGGGACUUUGGAGGCGGGUUUUGGCGGGAAAAUCUGUAAUGUUUGGAGAAGACAAGAUGGCGCUGGUUACCUCGUGUUAUAUCAAACGGCAUUUUUGUUCACAAAUACCCGCUUAUUUUACGUUAUAGCGACUGGUUCGUUUUGGAAAUUAUAACUCAAUGGACGGGGAAAAUGGUUCUGUAUUAAAGAGAAAAUGAUGUGCAGUUAUUGUGAUGUUAUUUGUUGUGAAAGACGGCCCGAAAUUUCGCUACUUCGCAGUACUGGUUUAUAAAACAUUUACAAGCAACAGCAAUUGAACUAUAUGACAAAGAAACCAAUGUAUACAAGCCAAUCAAGUUCUUCAGUUUAAAGGUCUGUUUACUUUUUAAUAAUUAGUUCAUUUAGUUGUACAUUAAUACGAAGUACUGGAACAGUACGCCUAGUCACAGAAUAGGU